GUGCCAGCAGCCGCGGUAAUACGUAGGGUCCGAGCGUUGUCCGGAAUUAUUGGGCGUAAAGAGCUCGUAGGCGGUUUGUCGCGUCUGCUGUGAAAACUAGAGGCUCAACCUCUAGCCUGCAGUGGGUACGGGCAGACUUGAGUGGUGUAGGGGAGACUGGAAUUCCUGGUGUAGCGGUGGAAUGCGCAGAUAUCAGGAGGAACACCGAUGGCGAAGGCAGGUCUCUGGGCACUUACUGACGCUGAGGAGCGAAAGCGUGGGGAGCGAACAGGAUUAGAUACCCCCGUAGUCC
rnacentral:rRNA from 1 species